UACAGAGGCCUCGAGCGUUAGGCGGAAUUACUGGGCUUAAAGCGUGUGUAGGCGGACUCGUAAGUCCCUUGUGAAAUCCCAUGGCUCAACCAUGGAACUGCUCGGUAUACUGCGAAUCUUGAGCCACUUAGGGGCUACCGGAACAAAUGGUGGAGCGGUGAAAUGCGUAGAUAUCAUUUGGAACGCCAAUGGUGAAAACAGGUAGCUGGGAGUGUGCUGACACUGAGACACGAAAGCCAGGGGAGCGAACGGG
rnacentral:rRNA from 1 species